GAUGAACGCUGGCGGCGUGCCUAAUACAUGCAAGUCGAGCGAACGGACGAGAAGCUUGCUUCUCUGAUGUUAGCGGCGGACGGGUGAGUAACACGUGGAUAACCUACCUAUAAGACUGGGAUAACUUCGGGAAACCGGAGCUAAUACCGGAUAAUAUUUUGAACCGCAUGGUUCAAAAGUGAAAGACGGUCUUGCUGUCACUUAUAGAUGGAUCCGCGCUGCAUUAGCUAGUUGGUAAGGUAACGGCUUACCAAGGCAACGAUGCAUAGCCGAACUGAGAGGGUGAUCGGCAACACUGGAACUGAGACAAGGUCCAGACUCCUACGGGAGGCAGCAGUAGGGAAUCUUCCGCAAUGGGCGAAAGCCUGACGGAGCAACGGCGCGUGAGUGAUGAAGGUCUUCGGAUCGUAAAACUCUGUUAUUAGGGAAGAACAUAUGUGUAAGUAACUGUGCACAUCUUGACGGUACCUAAUCAGAAAGCCACGGCUAACUACGUG
rnacentral:rRNA from 1 species